rnacentral:tRNA from 1 species
CAAGUUAGAGCUUGUAGAAGUGUUUUAUUUACAUUAAAAAGAUAGUUGUGAGAAUCAAUUUAAUUUGA